AUUGAUCUUCGGGGAAAGGGUGAGCAUCAGGAUAUGAUGCAAGUCCCGAUCGGCGGUAUAGCCCGCGAGCCUUAUGGCAUGAUCCGGUUAGAUUCCGGGGCCGACAGUAAAGUCUGGAUGGAAGAAGAUAAGA
rnacentral:ncRNA from 2 species